UACGUAGGGGGCAAGCGUUGUCCGGAUUUAUUGGGCGUAAAGAGCGUGUAGGCGGCUUUACAGGUCCGUUGUGAAAACUCGAGGCUCAACUUCGAGCUGUCGGCGGAAACUAUCUGGCUAGAGUCCGGAAGAGGAGAGUGGAAUUCCUGGUGUAGCGGUGAAAUGCGCAGAUAUCAGGAAGAACACCCGUGGCGAAGGCGGCUCUCUGGGACGGUACUGACGCUGAGACGCGAAAGCGUGGGGAGCGAACAGG
rnacentral:rRNA from 1 species